rnacentral:rRNA from 1 species
GACGAACCGUGCGAACGUUAUUCGGAAUCACUGGGCUUAAAGGGCGCGUAGGCGGGUUGCCAAGUCUGUGGUGAAAUCCUCCAGCUUAACUGGAGAACGGCCGUGGAUACUGGCGACCUCGAGGGGGGUAGGGGCUUGCGGAACUGUGCGUGGAGCGGUGAAAUGCGUUGAUAUGCACAGGAACUCCGGUGGCGAAGGCGGCGAGCUGGACCCUUUCUGACGCUGAGGCGCCGAAAGCCAGGGGAGGCGAAACGGG